rnacentral:rRNA from 1 species
UACGUAGGGGGCUAGCGUUGUCCGGAUUUAUUGGGCGUAAAGAGCUCGUAGGCGGCUCAUUGCGUCAACCGUGAAAUCCUGCUGCUCAACGGCAGGACUGCGGUUGAUACGGGUGGGCUGGAGUUCGGUAGGGGAGACUGGAAUUCCUGGUGUAGCGGUGAAAUGCGCAGAUAUCAGGAGGAACACCGGUGGCGAAGGCGGGUCUCUGGGCCGAUACUGACGCUGAGGAGCGAAAGCGUGGGGAGCGAACAGG